rnacentral:rRNA from 1 species
GACGAACGCUGGCGGCGUGCUUAACACAUGCAAGUCGAACGGAAAGGCCCUGCUUGGGUGGGGUGCUCGAGUGGCGAACGGGUGAGUAACACGUGAGUAACCUGCCCUUGACUUUGGGAUAACUUCAGGAAACUGGGGCUAAUACCGGAUAGGAGCUCCUGCUGCAUGGUGGGGGUUGGAAAGUUUCGGCGGUUGGGGAUGGACUCGCGGCUUAUCAGCUUGUUGGUGGGGUAGUGGCUUACCAAGGCUUUGACGGGUAGCCGGCCUGAGAGGGUGACCGGCCACAUUGGGACUGAGACACGGCCCAGACUCCUACGGGAGGCAGCAGUGGGGAAUAUUGCACAAUGGGCGGAAGCCUGAUGCAGCAACGCCGCGUGCGGGAUGACGGCCUUCGGGUUGUAAACCGCUUUCGCCUGUGACGAAGCGUGAGUGACGGUACUGGGUAAAGAAGCACCGGCUAACUACGUG